rnacentral:lncRNA from 1 species
CCGGCAGUUUUCUGGACGCUCCGGCGCUGGCUCCACCUGGCGGCGGGAAGGCUGCGGCACGCCCAGCCCGCCCAAGUUCAGGCAGAGGACAACCUCACGUCCCUCCGUGGCUCCAGGAAGAGCACCGUGGAAGAACAAUUGUGGUCCUUGCUCAGUCGAAGAGUAACCCUGCGUGCUGACACCUGCCAUUGCACCUGGCUUUCACGGUCAGCCGGAAAGGGUGCUGGAGCAACGCCAUCCUGUGUCCUGUAUGCAAUUGUGUGGAAAACAGCUCUGCUCUGAGCGAAGCAGCAUCAAUAUCUACUACUUAGAAACAGAUGAGAGGGCGACUUGGCAGCUGCUCGACAAUCAGACAAAACCUCACUCCGUUGUGUUUCGUGCCUCUAGAUUUUUUUAAAAGGGCCAAGCUUUCCUUCUGCCUCCUGCAUCUCGUAAUUGUCAGUGAGUUCAGUGGUACCUUUCCACAACAUAACUGAUCAACUGCAGGCUCAUGGCUAAUAAACUGACACAAAAGAACUUAUGAAGACAUAACCUUUAAGUGUGUGAGAUAACAUGCAAUUCAACACGCAGCACAAAGAGCUCCGACGCCCAAGCGAGCCGCUGAGCUCGCAGUGGUUUCUCCAAGCGAAUCUGAGCAUAUGGUCCAUAAUGGAGCUUGAAUUUACAGCAACAGAGAUGUGCGAGGGAGAUUAAAGCUUCAUCUCCACUGCAGAAGCUCCUCUGGUUCUGUUUCAGACCCUGCCAUCAGUUUUGCUAGUUCUCUGGGUUCUGCCUUGUCCAAGGACGGCCAGCAGCUGACUCGUGUGGUGUCAAGGAGAUGCAUCACCCAGGCUUAUCAUGUCCU